rnacentral:rRNA from 1 species
UGGGGAAUUUUGGACAAUGGGGGAAACCCUGAUCCAGCCAUCCCGCGUGUGCGAUGAAGGCCUUCGGGUUGUAAAGCACUUUUGGCAGGAAAGAAACGUCAUGGGUUAAUACCCCGUGAAACUGACGGUACCUGCAGAAUAAGCACCGGCUAACUACGUGCCAGCAGCCGCGGUAAUACGUAGGGUGCAAGCGUUAAUCGGAAUUACUGGGCGUAAAGCGUGCGCAGGCGGUUCGGAAAGAAAGAUGUGAAAUCCCAGAGCUCAACUUUGGAACUGCAUUUUUAACUACCGGGCUAGAGUGUGUCAGAGGGAGGUGGAAUUCCGCGUGUAGAAGUGAAAUGCGUAGAUAUGCGGAGGAACACAGAUGGCGAAGGCAGCCUCCUGGGAUAACACUGACGCUCAUGCACGAAAGCGUGGGGAGCAAACAGG